GCAGACACAUUCCAGCCAAUCAGCAGCAGACCCUCCCUCCCAGAUCCUCCCACCUCCUGGACAGCAUCCAUUGUGAAGCUGCAUUUUUAGUGAGCUGUCCAGGAGGUGGGAGGGUCUGGGAGGGAGGGUCUGCUGCUGAUUGGCUGGAAUGUGUCUG
rnacentral:miRNA from 1 species